rnacentral:sRNA from 2 species
GUGGGACGGUUAAUCUUGUUAUUGUUGCGAUCAGAGCAAGUUAGCUAUAUAGGGUUCAUCGCCAGCGGUGGAGUGGCUGCCGCAAUCAACAACACCCCUUCAUCAUCUUGACUAGCUGAUUUGAAUCUGUGAUAGCAUGUUGACACUCUUGUAGUGGAAUUUUUGCACUCAUACAGGCCUCAUAACCUCCGAAUAACCCAACACAAAAGAGCUUUUUUGGCAAUCGCCUCACGGACAAAACACGUACAAAGCGCUGGAGAAGGCAUCCUGAAAAGCCAUGUUUCGUACCUUAACAUUUGCCUGGAGCCGCUGCGUAAUAAGGGUCAAAGACAACUCACCGCUAUGGCAACACUUUUGUUAUUCAACUCCCCCCUCCUGUCGACUGAUGUCUGGC